GAAAACAUGACAGAUGACAGAAUGCACAAAUAGCCACACUGAUUACUUUCAACUUUUGCAAAGCGUUUUAGUGGAUUAUUUUGAUCACUGUUGAGUUAAUACAAAAUUACAUGUAGCCUACUGUGAAUGGCUAUCAUUUCUGUCACACUACCUAUAGCUCAAUAGACCGCUCACUUAAUUGGGGUGAUUACUGUGUUGUACUGUUGGUACUUCUGUGGAUCUUUAUCGAUGUUUUGAGAGGAUUUUUGCUGGAGUAGGGCUACAAGUAAUCAUAACUGAAUCCAUCACGUAAGAAAAAACGGAUUUGGAAUUUUGGGGCGACAUCCCAUUUUGCUUGAAGCGAUAAGUGACUUCUCAGCGGAGCGGUGGAGGGGGCGGACGCCACGGUCUGUCGAGCAAGGAGCGGGAUUUAAUAUCGCUUAGUUCCGCUCGUGCACUCGGAUUGUACAUGUUUUGUUAUUUCAUGGUAUAAUGUUUUUGUGACCAGGUAGGAACCUUAUUCAUCAUUAGCGUUCCCAGAGGGACCGUAAAUUCGGUUGGUACAGGUACACGUAUAGGUGUUGUUUAUAGACACGCCCCAGACACGCCCCAAACACACAGGUCUUCGUUCCCACCGGGCUGGUUCACACCGAUGGCGCCUUUGUGAUUUAAAAAAAAAAAAAAAAAAAAAAAAAAAACUAUUGGUAAGUAAGUGCAGUGUUUUAAAUUCACUUGUAAAUUUUACGUGGUAAAAAGCAUUCGUUUUUUUCGCCCUAGACGGCGAUGCUUUGCUGCAGUAGCAGGGGAAAAGGCAUUCCAGGGGUUACCGGGUGCAGACUAAACAAAAACAAAACAAAAAACAAAACAGAUCCGAUAAGAGAUUGUUCCUGCUGUCUACAACUCUGCAGCAGGACAUCAGCAGCAGAGUUUCAAGAGGAGCUCCAGACUCUUAAAGCGAGGCUGCAGAUGGAGAAGGAUCAGAGGAUCAAAGCUUAAAGAUGAAAAUGAGAGUAGCCUCGCAUUAAAUUGAGCUACAUGGCCACGGAAGGGUGUCACCUGUUGGCAUCGGAAGGAAGCCUGUGAAUGAGGAUCUGUGUUCCUGAGGUUUGUACAGCCGCCGACGUUGCAGAAUAGACUGUUCUGCUACGACGUUAUUUUGUGGUUGGGGUACUUUCAGCAUCCUCUUUCUUCGUUGUUACUGCGUCCAUCAUAUAUAUGCUCUCGCGGCCCAGGGA